rnacentral:rRNA from 1 species
CCUACGGGCGGCUGCAGUGGGGAAUAUUGGACAAUGGGGGGAACCCUGAUCCAGCCAUGCCGCGUGUGUGAAGAAGGCCCUCGGGUUGUAAAGCACUUUCAGUGAGGAAGAACGCCUGGUGGUUAAUACCCAUCAGGAAAGACAUCACUCACAGAAGAAGCACCGGCUAACUCCGUGCCAGCAGCCGCGGUAAUACGGAGGGUGCGAGCGUUAAUCGGAAUUACUGGGCGUAAAGCGCGCGUAGGUGGCUUGAUAAGCCGGUUGUGAAAGCCCCGGGCUCAACCUGGGAACGGCAUCCGGAACUGUCAAGCUAGAGUGCAGGAGAGGAAGGUAGAAUUCCCGGUGUAGCGGUGAAAUGCGUAGAGAUCGGGAGGAAUACCAGUGGCGAAGGCGGCCUUCUGGACUGACACUGACACCGAGGUGCGAAAGCGUGGGUAGCAAACAGGAUUAGAUACCCGUGUAGUC